rnacentral:rRNA from 1 species
UGAGGAAUAUUGGUCAAUGGGCGCGAGCCUGAACCAGCCAAGUAGCGUGAAGGAUGAAGGUCCUACGGAUUGUAAACUUCUUUUAUAAGGGAAUAAAGUCAUCUACGUGUAGGUGUUUGUAUGUACCUUAUGAAUAAGCAUCGGCUAACUCCGUGCCAGCAGCCGCGGUAAUACGGAGGAUGCGAGCGUUAUCCGGAUUUAUUGGGUUUAAAGGGAGCGUAGACGGGUCGUUAAGUCAGCUGUGAAAGUUUGGGGCUCAACCUUAAAAUUGCAGUUGACACUGGCGUCCUUGAGUACGGUUGAGGCAGGCGGAAUUCGUGGUGUAGCGGUGAAAUGCUUAGAUAUCACGAAGAACCCCGAUUGCGAAGGCAGCCUGCUAAGCUGCAACUGACAUUGAGGCUCGAAAGUGUGGGUAUCAAACAGGAUUAGAUACCCUGGUAGUCCACACGGUAAACGAUGAAUACUCGCUGUUUGCGAUAUACUGCAAGCGGCCAAGCGAAAGCGUUAAGUAUUCCACCUGGGGAGUACGCCGGCAACGGUGAAACUCAAAGGAAUUGACGGGGGCCCGCACAAGCGGAGGAACAUGUGGUUUAAUUCGAUGAUACGCGAGGAACCUUACCCGGGCUUAAAUUGCAGAUGAAUUACGGUGAAAGCCGUAAGCCGCAAGGCAUCUGUGAAGGUGCUGCAUGGUUGUCGUCAGCUCGUGCCGUGAGGUGUCGGCUUAAGUGCCAUAACGAGCGCAACCCUUGUUGUCAGUUACUAACAGGUUCCGCUGAGGACUCUGACAAGACUGCCAUCGUAAGAUGUGAGGAAGGUGGGGAUGACGUCAAAUCAGCACGGCCCUUACGUCCGGGGCUACACACGUGUUACAAUGGGGGGUACAGAGGGCCGCUACCACGCGAGUGGAUGCCAAUCCCCAAAACCUCUCUCAGUUCGGACUGGAGUCUGCAACCCGACUCCACGAAGCUGGAUUCGCUAGUAAUCGCGCAUCAGCCACGGCGCGGUGAAUACGUUCCC